UAGCUCAGUUGGUAGAGCAGUUGACUUUUAAUCAAUUGGUCGCAGGUUCGAAUCCUGCACGACCCACCAAUCUUUAAUGAUGGUAACUGGUAGAAAAGUGAAGGAUAACGUUGCGUCAGCAACGGCGCCGAAGGGCGAGGCGAAGCCGAGUCAUCCUGCACGACCCACCA
rnacentral:sRNA from 2 species